rnacentral:lncRNA from 1 species
AAUUAUUGCCGAUCCUCCCCUCCAACACUGCUCUCAUCACCUAUAUACUCUUCUCUCUGCCCGUCUCUGCUUCCCCCCCCUUCCCCCCCCCCUUUUCUCCCGGCCGACGGAGCUGAAGGGGCGGGGGUUCCUUCCUUGGAGUGUUUCUAGAGCUCGGAGGCUGCUGGUAGGGGGGCACCACUUUCAGAUAAAAACAUAGACCUGAAUGGCAUCAUCCAGUAUCCAAGGAAACCAUGCUUGCUUGAAGAGUGAGCAGGUGAGCAAAGAGACAAGAUUACAUGUUUAAACCAAGAAAAGAAUCUUGAAAAACAGAUUGGAAGAAUGCGAAAUGUUAUUAGACACAGGCACAGCAUAGCAGUAGAAACAUCUUAACUGAGAACUUGGAACUGAAAGAGAAAGCAACCAACUUAAAGGGCAGACAAGACACAUGGUUAUGUAACACAGCAGUGGGUAUUCACAGUGAUGACACAAGACAAAACAAUUACAUUUUCAUUCUAAAAGUAAUUUUUAAGGAGGCAAGGGCAUUUAUAAAACAUUUUAGAAACUAUUUAAUAAAAAUGGUAAAAUUAAAGUGUUUGUUUAUGUACUCAACAAAUAUUUAUUUGGAAAGUGCAUGCCUGGGGGCACAUCUCGUUAAUGAGGUGAUCCUGUGUUUAGAACUGAAGGCAGUCCUCAUCCAUUCUCUCAAAAGGUGACCUUCUUUGUUCUUCUUAUAGCCUCACCACAUUUAAUUUUCAGAGGUUUUGACAUAAAUUAAAAACAUUCUUUGGUAGAUUGUAUUGUAUGAAAACAAUCUUCAAAAGUGUAAGCAUUGAUAUCUGGAAUAUCUGGGAAAAUGUACAAUAAAGACAUCUCUUCUGGUCUU